rnacentral:rRNA from 1 species
AUUGAACGCUGGCGGCAGGUCUAACACAUGCAAGUCGAGCGGGGUUUUCGGACCUAGCGGCGGACGGGUGAGUAAUGCGUAGGAAGCUGCCCGAUAGAGGGGGAUACCAGUUGGAAACGACUGUUAAUACCGCAUAAUGUCUACGGACCAAAGUGUGGGACCUCCGGGCCACAUGCUAUCGGAUGCGCCUACGUGGGAUUAGCUAGUUGGUGAGGUAAUGGCUCACCAAGGCGACGAUCUCUAGCUGGUUUGAGAGGAUGAUCAGCCACACUGGAACUGAGACACGGUCCAGACUCCUACGGGAGGCAGCAGUGGGGAAUAUUGGACAAUGGGCGCAAGCCUGAUCCAGCCAUGCCGCGUGUGUGAAGAAGGCCUUCGGGUUGUAAAGCACUUUCAGCGAGGAGGAAGGGUGGUGUGUUAAUAGCACAUCAUUUUGACGAUACUCGCAGAAGAAGCACCGGCUAACUCUGUGCCAGCCGCCGCAGUAACAC